ACCUGGCUGGUUCAGUCGGUAGAACAUGGGACUCUUGAUCUCAGGGUCUUGAGUUCAAGCCCCACAUUGGGCA
rnacentral:tRNA from 1 species